GCACCGUCCCGCCUGGGGCUCCCCGCCCCAGCCAGGCGUGGGGGCAGCACGCAGCCGGAGUCCGGAAACGCUGGGUCAGACGCGAGAGCUUUCGCUGGGGAGUCAAGAACCUCAUCUGUGUUUGCUUCCCGGUGCUCUCUCCACUCUCCUUCCCCACGCUUAGAGCNNNNNNNNNNNNNNNNNNNNNNNNUCAGGAAAUCCUGCCGCUGGUGUCUGCUUCCCAGAAAACCUGGCCAGUCGUUCCCAGGAGAACACAGUGUCCCACAGCCCCUUCCACGGACCGGCCCAGUGUCCCCGCUGAGGCUGGAAACCUGUUCUGACGUGUUGCCCUCUGGCUGGAGAGAAAUCGCCGCCUGGGAACCCGGCGCCGGAAGACACCUAGGAUGGGCAUUUGUCUGGGCAUUGGAAUGAGGCGUGUGUGGUUACCGUCAGCAGAGACUGGAGAGUCGAAAGCAAAGUCCGUUGAGUCUCAGCGGACUUGGGAUGGCUAGAGGCCCAUCUGUGUUGGUAUCCUGCUUCAAAGCCACGUCAGUGUUUGCGAAAGGAAGUCUUCUAGAAAUUCCGUGGUUCUUGUGGGUGUAAGAAUUCACGUUAUUGAACAUAUUUGAAUAAAAAGACACCGUUCAGCCCA
rnacentral:lncRNA from 1 species